rnacentral:rRNA from 1 species
GACGAACGCUGGCGGCGUGCCUAAUACAUGCAAGUCGAACGCAGUGGUGACGGGUGAGUAACACGUGGGUAACCUCCCAUCAGAGGGGAUAACACUUGGAAACAGGUGCUAAACCGAUACUGAUGGAUGGACCCGCGGUGCAUUAGCGAGUUGGUGAGGUAACGGCUCACCAAGGCCACGAUGCAUAGCCGACCUGAGAGGGUGAUAAGCCACACUGGGACUGAGACACGGCCCAGACGCCUACGGGAGGCAGCAGUGGGGAAUUUUGGACAAUGGGCACAAGCCUGAUGCAGCCAUGCCGCGGGUAUGAAGAAGGCCCUAGGGUUGUAAAGUACUUUCAGUCGGGAGGCGUUACCGACAGAAGAAGCACCGGCUAACUCCGUGCCAGCAGCCGCGGUAAUAC